UACGGAGGGGGCUAGCGUUGUUCGGAAUUACUGGGCGUAAAGCGCACGUAGGCGGCUUUGUAAGUUAGAGGUGAAAAGCCCGGAGCUCAACUCCGGAAUUGCCUUUAAGACUGCAUCGCUAGAAUUGUGGAGAGGUAAGUGGAAUUCCGAGUGUAGAGGUGAAAUUCGUAGAUAUUCGGAAGAACACCAGUGGCGAAGGCGACUUACUGGACACAUAUUGACGCUGAGGUGCGAAAGCGUGGGGAGCAAACAGG
rnacentral:rRNA from 1 species